AGUUUGAUCCUGGCUCAGGACGAACGCUGGCGGCGUGCUUAACACAUGCAAGUCGAGCGGAAAGGCCCUUCGGGGGUACUCGAGCGGCGAACGGGUGAGUAACACGUGAGUAAUCUGCCCUUCACUUUGGGAUAACUACCGGAAACGGUGGCUAAUACCGGAUACGACAUCUCCUCGCAUGGGGUGGGUGUGGAAAGUUUUUUCGGUGGGGGAUGUGCUCGCGGCCUAUCAGCUUGUUGGUGGGGUAAUGGCCUACCAAGGCUUCGACGGGUAGCCGGCCUGAGAGGGUGACCGGCCACACUGGGACUGAGACACGGCCCAGACUCCUACGGGAGGCAGCAGCGGGGAAUAUUGGACAAUGGGCGGAAGCCUGAUCCAGCAACGCCGCGUGAGGGAUGACGGCCUUCGGGUUGUAAACCUCUUUCAGUACCGACGAAGCGCCGGUAAUGGUGGUGACGGUAGGUACAGAAGAAGCACCGGCCAACUACGUGCCAGCAGCCGCGGUAAUACGUAGGGUGCGAGCGUUGUCCGGAAUUAUUGGGCGUAAAGGGCUCGUAGGCGGUUUGUCGCGUCGGGAGUGAAAACGCCGGGCUUAACUCGGUGCUUGCUUUCGAUACGGGCAGACUAGAGGCAUGCAGGGGAGAACGGAAUUCCUGGUGUAGCGGUGAAAUGCGCAGAUAUCAGGAGGAACACCGGUGGCGAAGGCGGUUCUCUGGGCAUGUCCUGACGCUGAGGAGCGAAAGUGUGGGGAGCGAACAGGAUUAGUUACCCUGGUAGUCCACACCGUAAACGUUGGGCGCUAGGUGUGGGGCCUAUUCCAUGGGUUCCGUGCCGUAGCUAACGCAUUAAGCGCCCCGCCUGGGGAGUACGGCCGCAAGGCUAAAACUCAAAGGAAUUGACGGGGGCCCGCACAAGCGGCGGAGCAUGCGGAUUAAUUCGAUGCAACGCGAAGAACCUUACCUGGGUUUGACAUACGCCGGAAAGCGCCAGAGAUGGUGCCCCUUUUAGUCGGUGUACAGGUGGUGCAUGGCUGUCGUCAGCUCGUG
rnacentral:rRNA from 1 species